UGCCAAGCAACUCUCAUCCCUACCCUCUCGCGGUACUGGCCGGGGUACGAGCAACCUUAGGGAACUUUGGUCGUAUGCUGAUAGGGAAGG
rnacentral:ribozyme from 1 species